rnacentral:rRNA from 1 species
UACGUAGGUCACAAGCGUUGUCCGGAUUUAUUGGGCGUAAGGGGAGCGCAGGCGGUUUGUUAAGUCUGAUGUGAAAGCCCACGGCUCAACCGUGGAACGGCAUUGGAAACUGGCAAACUUGAGUAUAGAAGAGGAAAGUGGAAUUCCAUGUGUAGCGGUGAAAUGCGUAGAUAUAUGGAGGAACACCAGUGGCGAAGGCGACUUUCUGGUCUAUAACUGACGCUGAGGCUCGAAAGCGUGGGGGGAGCGAACAGGAUUAGAUACCCUGGUAGUCCACGCCGUAAACGAUGAGUGUUAAGUGUUGGGGGGCUUCCACCCCUCAGUGCUGGCGUUAACGCAAUAAACACUCCGCCUGGGGAGUACGACCGCAAGGUUGAAACU